rnacentral:miRNA from 1 species
UGCAGCUGGGUUCUGGAACCAAC